rnacentral:rRNA from 1 species
UACGUAGGGGGCAAGCGUUAUCCGGAAUUACUGGGUGUAAAGGGAGCGUAGACGGUAAUGUAAGUCUGGAGUGAAAGGCGGGGGCCCAACCCCCGGACUGCUCUGGAAACUAUGUUACUAGAGUGCAGGAGAGGUAAGCGGAAUUCCUAGUGUAGCGGUGAAAUGCGUAGAUAUUAGGAGGAACACCAGUGGCGAAGGCGGCUUACUGGACUGUAGCUAACGUUGAGGCUCGAAAGCGUGGGGAGCAAACAGG